rnacentral:rRNA from 1 species
UACGGGGGUGGCAAGCGUUGUCCGGAUUUACUAGGCGUAAAGGGCAGGUAGGCGGAUUGAUAAGUUAAUCGUUAAAGGCCCAUGCUUACCAUGGGUAAGGCGGUUGAUACUGUCAGUCUGGAAGUGAGUGGGGGAAGACGGAAUUCCUGGUGUAGCGGUGGAAUGCGCAGAUAUCAGGAGGAACACCGAAGGCGAAGGCAGUCUUCUACGCUUUGCUUGACGCUAAACUGCGAAGGUGCGGGUAUCAAACAGGAUUAGAUACCCUGGUAGUCCGCACAGUAAACGAUAAUCACUAGGUGUCGGUGGGAUAGACCUGUCGGUGCCGUAGCUAACGCGAUAAGUGAUUCGCCUGGGGAGUACGAUCGCAAGGUUGAA